UACAUCGGAACGUGCCCGAUCGUGGGGGAUAACGGAGCGAAAGCUUUGCUAAUACCGCAUACGAUCUACGGAUGAAAGCAGGGGACCGCAAGGCCUUGCGCGGACGGAGCGGCCGAUGGCAGAUUAGGUAGUUGGUGGGAUAAAAGCUUACCAAGCCGACGAUCUGUAGCUGGUCUGAGAGGACGACCAGCCACACUGGGACUGAGACACGGCCCAGACUCCUACGGGAGGCAGCAGUGGGGAAUUUUGGACAAUGGGCGCAAGCCUGAUCCAGCCAUGCCGCGUGCAGGAUGAAGGCCUUCGGGUUGUAAACUGCUUUUGUACGGAACGAAAAGACUCUUUCUAAUAAAGAGGGUCCAUGACGGUACCGUAAGAAUAAGCACCGGCUAACUACGUG
rnacentral:rRNA from 1 species